AAAAAAAAAAAAAUUAAGAGGCUCUCUUGUUUAAUAUACUGGAUUUGAGAAUAAGAGACUGUACGUGUCAAUUAUUUGUUGGCCAAGAAAACUCUCGACUAUUUUCUCUUUCUCCUCUCUCUCUCUCUCUGUCUACGAAGAUAUUGAAAUAUCAGAAGAGAUAUCUCUGAAAAAAUUGAUUGAAAGCUCGGUUUGAGUGAUUCAAUUACUUGUGACCUCCGGCGAUGCAUGUAAUCUGAGAACAAAGGGGGAGGAGCUUGAGACCAGAGACGCUGAGCAUGAGAAGCUUAAGUUGGAGUUGAAGAAACUUCAGAAGAUGAAGGAGUUCAAACCUAACAUGAUGAAAAAAGAGUUGCAGAGAGUGGAAUCUUCUGGUAAAGCUUUUGCAUCCGCAGAAAAAAAAGCAUGGUACGGUCAAUGAAAGAUUUCAAUUCCAAAUUCUACAAGUUGAAUGAGUUUCAGGUUUGGACUCUCUGUUCUCUGUCAAACAAGAAAAAUUGGUGGUGGUGUUAGAGCUGCGGUGGUUAUUGGUGGUCUCGGUCUUUACGGCGCUACGCACUCUCUCUCUACAAUGUCGAUGGAGGUCAUCGAGCUAUUGUCUUCAACCGCCUUGUUGGUAUCAAAGACAAGGUCAAAAUUGGACUUAGGGUUCUCACCAGAGAGAGCUAGAGGAACAACCAAGCGUUCUUAACACUGAGGAAGAUCGAAGCAGCUAGCUAGAGAGAUCGCACAAACCAUCUCAAAAUCGGCAAACAAGGUCUACUUGAGCUCUGACAACCUGCUGCUUAACCUGCAGGCGAUGGACCUUGAUGUGAAGGCCAAGAAGUAGAAGAUGAUAUGACUAAACCACACUAGAGCUCUCUCUUCCAUAAUUAUCUUUCUGAUUCUGCAAUAAUUUCAUAUUCUAGUUUAAAUUUUUUAUUUUCAACAAAAAAAAAAAAUUCAAAUUAAGAGACUCAAAAGUAAAACCCACCAUUGGAUUGGAGGAGAAAUUUUAAUUAAGAUUCCCAAAGUUCUUAUU